rnacentral:rRNA from 1 species
UACGUAGGGGACGAGCGUUGUCCGGAAUUAUUGGGCGUAAAGAGCGUGUAGGCGGCUUAUCAAGUCCUGCGUGAAAUCUCGGGGCUCAACCUCGAGCUGUCGGUGGAAACCGUAAGGCUAGAGUCCGGAAGAGGAGAGUGGAAUUCCUGGAUGUAGCGGUGAAAUGCGCAGAUAUCAGGAGGAACACCGAUGGCGAAGGCAGAUCUCUGGGCCGUAACUGACGCUGAGGAGCGAAAGCAUGGGGAGCGAACAGG